UUAGAGUUUGAUCAUGGCUCAGAAUGAACGCUGGCGGUAGGCUUAACACAUGCAAGUCGAACGGAAACGAUGAAAAGCUUGCUUUUCAGGCGUCGAGUGGCGGACGGGUGAGUAACGCGUGGGAAUCUACCCUAUAGUUGGGGACAACAUAUGGAAACGUAUGCUAAUGCCGAAUAUGCUCUACGGAGUAAAGGUGCCCUCUCCUUGGAAGGUAUCGCUAUAGGAUGAGCCCGCGUUAGAUUAGCUAGUUGGUGAGGUAAAUGCUCACCAAGGCGACGAUCUAUAGCUGGUUUGAGAGGAUGAUCAGCCACACUGGGACUGAGACACGGCCCAGACUCCUACGGGAGGCAGCAGUGGGGAAUAUUGCACAAUGGACGCAAGUCUGAUGCAGCCAUACCGCGUGUGUGAAGAAGGCCCGAGGGUUGUAAAGCACUUUCAGUAGGGAGGAAGAGUAUAAGGUUAAUACCCUUAUAUUUUGACGUUACCUACAGAAGAAGCACCGGCUAACUCUGUGCCAGCAGCCGCGGUAAUACAGAGGGUGCAAGCGUUAUUCGGAAUUACUGGGCGUAAAGCGCGCGUAGGCGGAUGAUUAAGUCAGUUGUGAAAGCCCUGGGCUCAACCUAGGAACUGCAUCUGAUACUGGUCAUCUAGAGUUUAAGAGAGGGAAGUGGAAUUCCAGGUGUAGCAGUGAAAUGCGUAGAUAUCUGGAGGAACAUCAGUGGCGAAGGCGACUUCCUGGCUUAAAACUGACGCUGAGGUGCGGAAGCGUGGGUAGCGAACGGGAUUAGAUACCCCGGUAGUCCACGCCGUAAACGAUGUCAACUAGUUGUUGGUCUUAUUAAAAAGAUUAGUAACGCAGCUAACGCGAUAAGUUGACCGCCUGGGGAGUACGGUCGCAAGAUUAAAACUCAAAGGAAUUGACGG
rnacentral:rRNA from 1 species